GAGCUCUGUGGGAAAAACUGAGAAGCAGCAUCAUGUCUCACGAAGUGCUGGGAAAAAGUGAGAUAAGGGAGGGGCUGCAUUCCUGGCAUAGUACCAACUGUGCUGUGUUAGAAACAGUUCCUUUAAAGAACUGAUAAGAAACCCCAGCCUCUCAGCCUCCCUGUUGGUUCAGUUCUCUGUCUGUUUUAACUCCCCUACAUUCCUAACUUGUGGUGCUUGUUAAGAUAUUAUUAAUCACCUAAUGCUGUAAAACAUGUAUACUAAAAGUGUCUAGUUUCUAGUUGUUA